rnacentral:ncRNA from 1 species
AUCGUCUGAACGGAACCCUUGCCGAAAGACUGCGUGCCCAGCACGGUCGCACGACGAUGAUCCUGCAAUGCACCGGCAACGAUUUCCGAAGCACUGGCCGAGCCGCCAUUGAUCAGCACAAUCACUGGCUUGCCAUCAACAAGAUCACCCUUGCGCGCGUCAAAGCGGGUUACAUCCUGCGGGUCACGUCCACGGGUCGAAACAAUUUCACCCUUAUCGAGGAACGUGUCUGAAACAGCCACGGCCUGAUCAAGCAGUCCACCUGGAUUGAGGC